ACGUAAUAAAGACAUCUGAGGAUUCUAUGAGACCCUGUGAAGUAACAACACACUUCAGAAGCACUUUGAAAAUCCAGAAGGAUGCUGUCUACUUGCCAUCCCUCUCUUGGUCUGUGUUCAGUGCUUAAACCUUGUAAGGUUGGCAGUGGCAGAGUGGUCAACUCAAGGACAUGGUGAUUCUGGAGACCCGGGUUCAAAUUCUGCUGCAACUAAUUGGCAAUUUUCAACCAUCACUAUACUGGACAUCUGCUAUCCAGAUGUCCAUCAAUCCACUCUAACUUCUAUUACUUUAGUCCCAGAGGAGCACCUGACGGCAACAUGAGCCAAGCAAGCGUCAUCCUCUCGUGGCAACCAGCGCUUCAUCUUCAAGGCCGUAUCUUUCUGCAGUUUAUCAGUGGCAAUGGAUGCAAGGCCGCUGCCCCGCCCGCCGCCGAGAUGCGCACUGACGGUCUGGUUCUCAGGAGUGGCUGCAGGAGAUGAUCCGGACCGCCGCCUCGCUCCUCGCGCCGCACAGAGCGCGGCCCGGCGUGGGAUGUCCCUUGCGGCGCCUGGCCAGCGCGCCCCCGUCAGCCUGGCCUCGCUCCUGUGACGUGCUGGUGGUGGGGGGCGGCGCCGUGGGGUCCUCGUCAGCUUAUCACCUGAAGCAGAGAGCGGGAGGCGAGCUUAGUGUGGCGGUGCUCGAACCUGACCCAGCGUACACGAAGGCCUCCACCGUCCUCUCCUGCGGCAAUAUUAGACAACAGUUCAGCGUGGCGGAGAACAUCCAGCUCUCAAUGUCCAGCUUCAAGUUCCUCCGCCGGGCCAAUGAGCUCCUCGCGGUGGAUGGCCAGGAGCCCCCCGACGUCGGCUUCAUCCCUUGUGGCUACUUGUUCCUCGCCACGCCGGAGGGACUCGAGCAGAUGAAGGAGAACUACGAACUGCAGACAUCGCUCGGGGCGGAGGUGGCGUGGCUGUGGCCGAGACAGCUGAGGCAGAGGUACCCGUGGCUCGCCUUUGGGAAGAACGUGGCGGCAGGGGUCGUGGGCACCAACAAUGAAGGACGGUUUGACCCGUGGACCCUCUUGUUGGGGCUGCGGCGGAAGGCUGAGUCCCUGGGCGCUGUGUACCUUCCUGCCAGGCUGACGGGGCUCCAGUACCGCUCCCAGGAACACGACGGAAGGGACACGGCCGCUCCUGACGCCGCCCCUGCCAGGACACUAACGACAGCCAUGGUCAGGCUGCGGGACGGAGAGGAGCGGGAGAUCUCGUUCUCGACGCUGGUGGUGGCCGCGGGGGCGUGGUCUGGAGAGGUGGGCCGCCUGGCGGGCCUGGGCACCGGCGAGGGGGCCCUGGCCACGCCCAUACCUGUGGAGCCCAGAAAACGUUACUUCUACCACGUGCACGCACCCGACGGCCCCUGGGAGGGUUGCCCCGUCUUCAACGACUACACGGGGAUGACCUUCAUGCCUGAUCCGCGGCCGCAGCACUUCGUGGCCGGACGGUCGCCGCGGGAGGAGGAGGAGCCAGACGCGGGGGACCUUGAGGUGGACUACGACUUCUUCGACACUCACGUCUGGCCCUUGAUGGCGGAGAGAAGCCCGUCGUUUGGGAACCUGAAGGUUAAGAGUGCUUGGGCUGGCUACUACGACUACAACGCCCUCGACCAGAACUUAAUCAUCGGCUUCCACCCCGUGUAUACCAACAUGUGCCUGGCUACGGGAAUGAGCGGACACGGCAUCCAGCAGUCCCCCGCCAUAGGUCGCGCCGUGAUGGAGUGCGUGGCGGACGGGCGCUCACACUCCAUCAAUCUAGACAGGUUCGGCUUCGGCAGGAUCCUCAACCGCCAACCCUUGAAGGAGAAGCUUGUCAUGUGAGGGUUUGCAGCGCCCAGCUGUCCCUCUCCUUCAUAAGACGCCCCGUGAACAGCGCCACUCGCUCAUACUUGCUGCCGCGCUGGUGUUCAAGAGCAUCUCAGAAACGACAUACAGUGACCUCACGUGUGGAGAAUGAGAAACCAAGGACAGUGACAAGAGAACAGCAAAACAGGACACCAGCCUUCAAUCACCGUUACACAGCAUUACCCAACACUUAACAGGCAGCAUCGGCAUCUCAAGAGUUAAGGAACCCCAUCAUCCCCCGCACCCCCUCAACGAUGCCCGUUAUGGAGGCUUGUAAAUGUGACGGCACAGCUCCAUUAAGACACCAAUAUCAAGAUGGGACGAGGAGAAUUCUGAUAAUGUCAAUGCAAGUAAUUAAACUGAAUGAAAAUAUAAAUAAAGGGAAACCGCGAAACCACA